UGAGGAUAUGAAGAGAAAUGAGAGAGUGCCUCUAGAUGGAAGUUCCUUCCCCACGAACUGAAGCAGAGUCUGCACCAGACCCUCACAAUUAGGGAUCAGGGAUGUUACAGAAAUCACCAGUGCAGCCCAGUUCCCAUCCAGAACUCUGGGAAAGGGGCCUAGGUUGACUCAGUAAGCCCCAACCUCUGGCCAAGCAGUGAAACCCUUGUUGCCCAGCAAUGAAGUAGGGUUUGUCUUGAGUCUUACGGGCUCAAAUAAAGGAAAAUAGCCUGGUAGUGCAUAUAUUAGAGUGACCGAAUUCAGAGGCAGCUCUGCUUCUCCAUCCCAGGUCCCCGUGAGUAAAACGGGGUCCAGCAGAGGGACGUGCUGACUUCUGGGCACUCGCGGAACGUGGGGUGCACGCUGCGGGUCCUGGGGCCGAGGCUCGGGUAAUGAAGUGUAGAAGCGUGCGAAAACCCCGAUUAAAGAAGUCUACCCUAUUGCCCACAAGCCUACCCGGCUGGACCCACCGACCGGAAGUGCUCAUGUACGUCAGCGAGGCUCCCAGACGGGCGGCAGUAAGGGAGGACGGAAGUGACCGCAGAGGCCUCUGGGGAGUGUAGUUCUGGAGGAAGGCGGAGGACGGGGGGUUGGCUUCGCUCACGCAGGAUUCCUCCGAAACCCGCACUGCUCAUACAACCAAGUUGGGAUUCCAUUAAGAUUCCCAGACCUCGAGGUCUUGGCUCUCUACAGAUGUGUUUCUGCAGAGGCCAGUGUGCACUGCUCUUCAGCGACUCUCGCAUGUCUCUUCAUUUCUCAGCUCAAACUACUUGUUUGGGAGGAAGGAGCAGAGAUUCAGCUGGAAACUUGAAAAGCAGCCAAGAAAUUCACUGUGGAAGAAGCAGACAUCCCAUAGAACUCUGAAUCAUUCGUACAGAUGCCCUUACCCAUGGCAACCAGGUUGCUGUAGUUCUCCAGCAUCACAUCUCUGUACAAGUCCCUCUGAGUAGGGUCCAGGCACUCCCACUCCUCCUGAGAGAAGUCUACAGACACAUCACUGAACGUCACUGGUCCCUGAAACAAUAAACAUAUGCACUAAUUGUAUACUAAAAGAAAUACUCCAAUGCAAGUAUUUUGAGGUAAAACAAAUUAAUAAUUUUACUGGUAUCACUAAGAACUAGUAUUUUUGUAUCUCAGGAAUAGAUGGAAGAGUAAUAAGUUUAUUUUAUAUUAAACAAAUGGAGUCCUGCUGUGCAGCUGCAGAGUUAAGAGCUGGGCAGAGCCAGACUUGACGAUGUCACCAGAGCCACAGGCCUCUCUUGACCAUGCGGACUUCCUGAUUCUGAGGCAAAGUUCAAGAGCUUGUCCUUCGCAGUUCUCCAUAGUCUUCUACAAACACAAGCAUUGGCUGUUGAACAUGCAAGGGGCUGAAAAUCUGGCAUCAUCAAGAAACCAGCAAAGGAACCAGCAUUAUGGUUAAGCCACCUUUGGAAAAGCAGCAAGUGCUUGGGCCCCUGCCACCCACAUGGAGACCCACAUGGAAUUCCAGGCUCCUGGCCCAGCCCUGGCUGUUGCAGCUAUUUGGAGAGUGGAUGGAAGAUCUUUUCCUCUGUCACUCUGCCUUUGAAGCAAAUAAAAUAAAUCUUUAAUUAAAAAAA